CUAUGAAUAAAAAUUAAUCAUUCCGUGUGAAACAUCUAUUUAUUCAUAAAAGUACCGAUUUCUACUCAAUAGUGCAUUUUUUUAUAAUUUCAAAUGUUAUUUUAAAUUUAUAGAAAAGUAAGCCAGUGAGCGAUUGGGUCAUUCAACUUAUUUCAUAAUUUAUUAUUAUCAGUUAUCACAUGACCAGGAGAGACUGAGCGCGUCUUCGCAAAAUUUUGCGCGCGUAAAAGUUCGAUCUUCCUGAUAAAGUAUUUUCUGAUAGUAGCUUGGUUAUUUUUUAUUAAUUGUAUGAAAUAGUACAGUGCAGAAUACUUUUAUACAUUUCAGUGAUAAAACUGUGUCAUAUAAAUGUGAUGAACAUCAUCUACACAUUCUUGUAGUGUUUAUUUAGCUAUUGCGCGAUGAACCUCAUUCGUCGGCCAGUUUCCCGCUUUCGGAUGGACGCCAGAACUUCUAACAUCCCUUACAGUUCGUACGAGAUGUUUCGUGAUAAAUCGUCAUCCAGUGAGCAUCAUAAUGAAUUAAUAAACUUUGCAUCAAUACGUAUUAAAAAAUGAUAACCUGAGGCCGUAACUAUUAUUUUAUCAGAAUAAAGAUAAGUUAAGGUUAUGUUUACAUUGGCCAGAUAAUAUUUGAACGAAUGUGAUAAUAAUUGUAGUUUCGUUUAAAAAUAAUUUAAACUAAAUGCAGUUGUUACGAUGGAGUGUUUAAGAGUAUUCGACAAUUUUAAACUUCGCGAUUUAAAUGAAGACUGGAUACAAUCAGCAUGGGAUGGAGAUUUCAUGAUUUUUGAUCAACCACCUGAUGAGCAUUUCAUACUUUUUGAGAAUGGAAAUGGAAAGAAUAUCCGAUUACUUCUGGAUGAGUCGUGUACAGCUAUAAGAGCAUGGUUGGAAAGAGGUGGAAAUGAAAAUAAUUCAGAUGAUUGUCAUUCAGAGAUAUCUUGGGCCACGUUGUUUGCCAUGGACGUCAAGGUACGAGCUUUACUAGCUGUACUGGGUUACAUAAUAAAUAAUGGUCAAAACAGUGAAGUAGAUGAAGAAUCAAGGGAGUCUUGUUUCUUGGCAAUCAACUUGUAUUUCUUGCUCUUGGCCAUCCCCGGUAGCAGUGUAUUUAAUGUAUUUCAUACAACUUUAUAUCAAAGAGCAAUAGAAACUCUUAGAAUAUACUCUGAACAGUUGCAACCUUCUGUCAAAAACUACAAAAAAACAAUGAAUUCAGAUGACACAUUCAAGCGCGAUGAGACUAUGAAUGAAACUGUGAUUCUCUCAUCCCAUCAAAGGAAUGUUUUAAAAAGAUAUCUGAAUAUUAUCAUUUGUAACUUCAUUAUAAUGGCAAAAUCGUUUUGUUUUAAAGAUCAUGUGCAGUUAUUGGAUACUACUGUACAUGGAAUACUCGAAGUUACAAGAAUCGAAGAUGAAUGUGUGAUACCUCAAUCUUUUAAUGAAGAAGCUAGCACUGUAAAAGUAUCAUUGUUACAUCAUGCUUAUGAAGCUUUGAGAGAGUUGUGUGAUAGUAAGCAUGGACCUGUUAAAACAACUAUAAUGUUAAUAGCAAAAUAUAUGCUACCUCGUUUGCUCUGUUCUCCUAUGGAUGCACAUGUGAAAAAUAUCGCUAGUAUACGUGACCACACGAUAAUCUUUUUGAAAACUUUAUUAGAUUUAUAUGAAAAAGAAUCGGAAACGGCAAUUUUAAUAUUGAUACAGCGCAUGAUGUUAAAGUGUCCAGACCGACUCGAACUUAGACAAAAACAAGCCGGUUUGCUGUUAAAAAUAUUUACGAUAUGCACGGAAAGUACUUUACUAAAAUCCUUGAAGGAUUUGAUAUUGUUAUCCCAUCACACAAAGAUACCUUUUAGAAUAUUUGCUCAAGAAAUAAUCGGGAAACUAUUACUUGAAACUUCAUGGACAAAUAGUAAUAUAAAUGAUAAUUUAAAGGAUAGAAUAAAGAGAGUACUUUUUGCAAUUGCAUUGAGCAGAUGUAUGGACUGCUCGAGUCUUGUAAGGGGAAAGGCUAUGGCAGUAAUUGCUGAGUACUCGGAGUCUGAUCACUUGGACAAAGGAAUAUUUCAAAUCAUGAUUAAAGAACCUGAUGAAAAUAAGAAGUUCGUCACAUUUUCUGAUAUGAAAGAUGCUCUAUUUAAUAAUGCAGAUUUAUUACCAAGAUCGAACUCUUUAAUAACUAUGUUGUUAGAAAGAUUAGAGGAUGAAAGAGCCUUGGUACGGAGAAGUACGUUGCAGCUCUUCAAAAAUUUAAUUAUAAUGUUUCCGUCUCUGAUACAUGAUGUUGUGCCUGCGAUUAGUACUAGGUGUAGAGAUCCAGCAGUAACAGUGCGUAGAUUCGCUGUGCAAGUUCUGUCUCAGCUGUUGCAAAAGUUUCCGAACAAUACAGAACUCCUACGCGAAUGGGUAGGAGCAGUAGUACCGCAGAUUUUCGAUAUUGAACCUAAAGUACAAGAAAAGGUGCUAGACCAUUUACAAGAGCUAUUGUUUCUUAGAAUAAAAGAUGUUUCGAAAUGUAAAGAUAGCGCAGUGGAUGAUCUGCCAUGGAGAAUUUUAAAUUCACUAGCUAAUGAAAAAAUGCGGAAACAUUUAUCGAAAGCCUGUAACUUGUGGGCUAAGAAUGGUAUUAAACAGUGUUUAAUACAAAAUAUACAGUCUCACAUUGGCACAAAUAAUGAUAUCGAAGCUUGGAUACUUCUAGCAGCGUUGGCUGAGAACACGACUUUACCAAAUAUGAAUGAAUUUUUCUCAAAGUAUGAGGAUAUUGUCAUAAAAAAUGAUUUUCGCACAAAUUUAAUUCUGCACGUUUUAAGCUGUUCUUGGAAAUCUGUAGAUUAUGCAUUUUUUAAACCUCUUGGCACUUAUCUUUACAAGUGCUUAGAAGAGUUUAAAAUCAAUUACGGAUUGAUCAGUGUUUCUCUAGAUAUUAUACACAAUACAAUUGCGUAUUUGUUCCCUGAGAACCAUAAGAAUGUGCUAAAAUCGCAGAUGAUAAAUCUAAUACAGAUUUCCGAGGCAGAAAUCGCAAAAGUUUUUAACAGUAAGAGCGAAGCUGCACAGGCAGCAUCAAAUUAUGUAAAAGCUAUGUUUACGUUAGGGCACGCAACGAUUUUAUGCACUUCUAAAAUCAAAUCUUCAACGUUGCGAAUUCUGCAAGGAGUGCUGUUGAAAUGGGAAGCACUGCCAACGCCGUUGAAGGAGAUAAAUGAAUUGCAAGCUGCGACAGUCGUCGUCCUAGGUCAACAAGCUAUAAGGGACCGUGAAAUAGCGAAACAAGUAGCUCCGAUAUUUGGGAAAUUGAUGAGGAAAACAGACCCAAAUUCGAUGGUAGAAAUAGCCUUGAAAAUAAAUGUUGCGAAAGCAUUAGCCGAUAUCUGCGCAAACUUUACUACUUUGGUUGAACCAUAUUUGCCCGACAUGUGCGUGAGCAUGAAGGAUUCGAGUCCGAAAGUGCGAGAGGCUAUCAUGGUGAUAUUCAUCCAAUUACUCUUAGAAGAUUACAUCAAAAUUAAAGGACCUUUCUUCUUUCAUAUAUUAACAAUGUUAUCGGACUCCGACGAUAUGAUACGUGAAUUAACGGUUUUUCUUAUUGAAGAACGGCUUCUACGGAAGAACAAAACUUUAAUCUCGCAACAGUUUUUACUAAGCAUAUAUCAUUACAAUAAUUGUUAUUCUCAGAGGAAAAUGUGUCGUCAUAAGUUGCGUGAGGAGGAAAGGAAAGUUUUAACGCUUCCUGGAAAAGAGAACGAGGAUAAACGAAGGACAAUUUAUGAUUUCAUGCUGGAUCACUUGAAUCCUCCGGAGAAGAUAAAAAUACUUGAAAAAGUAACUAGUCAAAUACUCGGUGGAACUUGCGCGGACACGAUCAACGUUAAUUUGAAAGAAGGGUCUUGCGUUUUGGAGGACGCGUUAUAUAUAAUUAGUAACGAUCGUUUACGUCCAUCAUCUUUUACCAGACACAGUAACGAUGAUCAACAAGAGGGUGAAGGAAUGCAAGAAGCUCAAACGACUACUCCAGCCUCUGGUGCAAUAAACGUUAUUGUUGAAGGAAUAAAAAAGUACGGUUUAGAGAUUCUAUUACCUACGCUAAUAAAGCUUAGGAUAAAAUUGUCAAAUCUAAAAUUACCGGUUGAAAACGAUGUAAGAAGAAAUCUAGUUAAAACGUAUUCUGAGUAUAAUAAGGAACAAUUGACGAAUCUAUUAAAUGAAUAUCCGCAACUGGAAAAAGAAGUGGACCAAUUUAAAAAGUAAGAAUUUAACUUAUUUGUUAAUUCUAAACCUCUUUAUUUUUUCCAUAACUGAUAAAAUCUUCAAGUCAUUUGUACAAUUUAAAUGUCUGCGCAAAAUUAUAGUAACGUUCAAGUGUGCUUGUACGAAAAGAUCGAUUAUGCAUGGUUAACAAGCUUGCUGUUACGUCUGUGGCCAGCUUUGUACUAUGUGCUGCUUUGACUAUAAACUGGUAAUAAUUUUAUUUCAGGCAAUUGAGAGAUAUUCGAUUUAAUGGAAAUACUUCUAUUGAAGAAGAAAUCUUUUCACCGGAAACGGAUAAUCAACGUGUUUCCGACAAAAGCUCAGAUUUAACUUCCCCUAUGAUAAGUCCAACGGUCGGAUUGGAGUGUGUUUCGAUUUCUGAAUUAUCUGACUUUAGACCUACGCCUGUGAAUUGCAGUUCACCGCAUAGUAUUCUAAAUGGUUGGGAUCCACUCAUGUGUUCAACUCUUGGUCCUAGUACGAGUGGUACAUCUAAGUUUUCAAAUUUAGAUAUCGAUGACAUAAUUCCGUCAAAAAUUCGAAAACUUUCCAAUUCGUAUAAGAACGAUAAUGGAUCUGCUAAUCACGGCAUAGAUUAAGAGGAGGAAAUAGUUUCGAGGUUCAAUACGACGGUGAAUCUAAUUAGGAUAGGUUCAUUUUCUUACUUUUUUUCAUUUAUGAUGCAUUUUGUAGAAAAGCAUAAAAAAAUAUAUUAUUAGACUGCAGAUUUUUUUAUAUUUAUAGAAAAAGUUGAAGUUUAGAGAAUAUAAAGAUGAUAUAUUAUGGUUCAUUUUUGUUUUUUUGUGUUUUGUUUUAUUAGAUGUACGAGGAAGUACAUAUUGUUUUUGACGAGUAAAAAAAAUUUUAAUUUACGUUUUAUUAGUUUAAACUGCGAUCAGAAAAAUUUUAUGUUAGAUAAAAAUCCGCAGUCUAAAUAUUACCUACCUCUCAAUUUUCGUUGUAUGCGAAACGAUGUCUGCGAAAUGGCAUACGUUCUACUGUCCAGUUCUUUUUUUAAAUCUGCAACACAUAAACUGUCAACCACCGAGUGAGCGCAACAUUUGGUAAUAUUGUUCUUACCUUUAUUGGUGUACGACAAAACGUUAUUAUAUAAAUCCUUCACGAUCGUGAUAUUCUCAGCGA